CUCCCACCCAGAUUCGUCCUAGGGAGCACAACCUCAGCGGCAAUCUGCCCAGGCCAGGAGCCGAGGCUGAGACCCGGGCCGGACGUCGCCCAGGCGCCCCGAAGGCCGCACUCACCAUGGCUCCGGCUCGGCUCCCCCGCCUCCCCCGGGAGCACGUAUCAUCCCAGCCCAGAGGUCGCGGCCACUACCGACGCGCCUUUAUCACAGAGCGACGCAUUCGCGGGUAGCAGGCACGAGCCUCCCAAGUACGGACGCCUCCGAAACACGACAGUAGAAGCCGCAAACUAGGCCGGAAAAUGUCGUAAAAGGGAAAAAGCGCAGAAGGAGGAAAGUCGCUCAAGCAGGGGGCGGGCGGAGAACGCUACUUGGGCUUGGUUGAGGGUGGGCGGAUCGCCUCCCACCCGGGCUUAAGGGUGGGGCUUCUCUUUGUUUUCUGCCCUUUGCCCCUGCGGCACCGAGACACGAUCUUGCUAUGUUGCUGGGGCUGGUCUUGACUUCUGACCUUCCACAGUGCUGGGAUUACAGGUGUGAGCCACCACGCCCGACCAAAAGAACUUUUAAAGCUUCCUUCUUUUCUGCAAUAAUAGCUGUUGUGUGGAAUUGCUUCCUGUCUGUGGUCACUCCAUUGCAUUGGCCCUGCUUAUGGAUUUUCCAAGCAGGGAGCCAAAGAACCAGGACAACAGUCUACCAAGAGGCCAGACCUGAUAUUUGGUGCGAAAACCUUGGAUCCUCUCUCUUUUGAAGGAGUCCAACUGAAGGGAAUGGAGAGCUGGGUGUACAUCUUGAGAACUAAACCAGUGGACACUCUGAGCCCAGACACUAGCAAGGAUGCUGAUACCACAGAUACCUGUGAGUGUGAACCACCUGAGGGAUUAAAGGUUCUCUUCAAAAAGCUGAAAUGAUUAAACCUCACAGGCUAUGCCAUCACAGAUAAUAAAGAAUCCCUGCAUAUAUUUCCUGAUCUACCUUAUGUUAGCCUUUGAUGGAAUCCUCUGCAUAGUAAAUAUAUUGUAGCAUGAAGGAA